UAAAAGUAUAGAGGCCAAGCAAGAAAAAACACAACUUGGAAAGGUACAAGAGCUCUACCCACUGGCUGUAAAAAGUGACAACAGAGAAGAAAAAAGUAGAAGAAAUCUCAGAGAAAAAAAAGAUAGAACACGCUAUAGGUAUCUACUGCUGCAUGGCUCAGGACCAGGUUAUCUUCGAGACCGCCUUCUGCUGCAUAGCUCCCAGCGACCGAAACCACUGGCAGAUGAAUAGACUACAAAAUGUCCUGAUGAAUGCAGCUUAGAAAAACGUGGUCUACUACUGAAUAUUUCAGAUUACAUCAAUCCCUUCUGGCUAGAAAUCAAAUGGAACAUGGAGAACUUGAAAGAUAUUGAUUUACUGACAGUUGUUGAAAAGAGCAGCCAAAGUUGGAAAGGCUUUGUUUAUUUCCAUUACUAUUGGAUGCCCUGUUUUUAUUUGUCUUUCAUGAAUUCAGAUGACAAUCUUCAAGCAUUUGAAUACGCAUUUGCUGUUUUAUUUCCUGUUAGUCCAGUGCGGAGGGCCAAAGUCUGAGUUACCUCAUCAAAUGUUUAUAUCCAACUUGGAAGUGUUUGCAAGGAAAAAUAAACUGAUGUCUUUAGAUAGGAUGGAAAAUAAUCCCUGCCCUUCUA